rnacentral:lncRNA from 1 species
GGGGGACCUACCAUGAGUGUGGGCUCCUGAGUAAGGUGUGCUGCACAGCCCUAUGGGAGCACAGCGUGUGCUCCAGAGGCCAAGCAGAAUAAGGAGGGAGUGGCAGCUGGAUGCCAGGUUCCGUGCAGGUUCAGGAGGGAGUGCAGAUGGGAGGGUGAACUGCAGGGCUCUGCCAGGGCCUGAGAAGGUGUGGAUGGUCUGCACUGGUGGUUCUCAACUUGGCAAUUCACUGUUGAAGGAACUAGCAGGACAACUCACUGGAUAUAAAAGAAGUCAACAAGUUUUUGCAGGUAUUUUCCUUGCUGAUUGCUCAGGACCUUCCACCUGUUUCUGAGGCUGCUGGUAUAG